ensembl:misc_RNA 7SK 7SK RNA
GGAUACAAGAAAAUGGAAAGACAUCCCUUGUUCCUGGGUAGAAAGAAUGAAUAUAGCAAAAAUGGCCAAUGGUUGAUUCAGCUGAUCUGGCUGGCUAGGCGAAUGUCCCCUUCCUCCCUCACCGCUCCAUGUGCAUCCCUCUAGGAGCUGCAUGCUCAAAGAGAACAACCACCCCCAUAGAGGAGGACCGUUUUCUCCAUCAGAGGUGUAAGAGUAGCUGCACUCCCCGGCUAGAACCUCCAAACAAGCUCUCAAAUAACCUCUCAUUUCAUUUGUGGUUUCUUUUUUCACAUAUGUCAAUUUAGAAAUGUAUGCUAUCU